GUUGAGGAGGCGGUGACUGUGGCGGUGUAGGUGGAAGCGGCGGUGGAGGAGGAGGAGGUAGCUGUUUGAUAUAUAUAUAUAUAUAUAUAUAUAUAUAUAUAUAUUUUUUUUUUUUAAUUGGGGUUGCCCCCAAAAUAUUAGGACAUAUAAAAAAAUACAACUCUGUUCCGCAGAGUAGCUGUUGACAUUAUAGUUGCGCAGGCAAUUUGUUGACUCUAGAGAACCUCGGGCAAAUAGUACAUCCCCGUGACGGCGACUUUGCAUUCGGAUGUCAUCCAUAUCAACUUUUGAUGCCAGUUUCUGCACCUACCAUGGUGACCACGGGUAAUGGGGACUCAGGGUUACAUUCCAUGCAUGGACCCUGAGAAACGGUUACCACAUGCAAGGAAGGCAGCAGGCGCCCAAAUGACUUACUUCCGACGCGGGAAGGUAGUGACGAC